rfam:Ciona savignyi cont_61612, whole genome shotgun sequence.
GUCUCUGUGGCGCAAUGGAUUAGCGCGCUGGACUUCUAAUCCAGAGGGUUCCGGGUUCGAGUCCCGGCAGGCGAUG